AUCUUUUUUUGUUAUUAUAUAAAAUUUGGCCUGCCCUAUGAAAAUGAUUAAAUGGCCGCAGUAUUUUAACUGCGCUAAGGUAGCAUAAUAAAUUGUCUUUUAAUUAAGGGCUUGUAUGAAUGGUUGGACGAAAUAAAAACUAUUUUGUUUUAUUUUUUGAAUUUAAUUUUUUAGUUAAAAGGCUAAGAUUUUAUUAAGGGACGAGAAGACCCUAUAAAGCUUUAUACGUGAGGUAGGCACCCAAUUUUAGAUUUUUAAUAAAUUGGGUGCUUUAUUUGUGGCGUAUUAAAUUGGGGUGAUUGGGGAAUUCUUUUAACUUCUGAAUACUGAUUUCGUUAAUAUUCGAUUUAAUUGAUCCAGUUUUAUUGAUUAUAAGAUUAAGUUACUUUAGGGAUAACAGCGUAAUUUUCUCAGAGAGUUCAAAUUGAUGAGAUAGUUUGCGACCUCGAUGUUGGAUUAAAAUUAGCCGUUGGUGCAGCAAUUAAUUGGCUUGGUCUGUUCGACCAUUGAAAUUUUACAUGAU
rnacentral:rRNA from 1 species